UGCUGCUGUGCACCUAUACGUGGCUCACGCCUGGCUCUUGCUGCCGUCCAGGACGACCUGCUUAGCCUGCUACUCGACUCCCUAGCAGCAGCUGAGGAGAGGUUCCAUGGGAACAAGCACCCAUGGUUGCUGCCUUCGUUAGCACCGUUCCUUUACUGCGGCCCUUUAGAUCCUUUGCUGAUCCAGCUCACAGAAGGGGCGUAUGGCGGCGAGGAAGCGGCGGCGCGCGCCUACGACCUGAGGGCAUUGAAGUACUGGGGCCACGACACCAUCCUCGACUUCCUAGUACCGCUUCCAAGCUACUCCUCAGUGUGUUGAUAUUAUUCAUUGACGCGGAGGCAUGCCUAGAACUUGCACAAUGCAGGCACACGUACCUGACUUCUUAAUUGGAUUUUGACGAACCUUUUGCAGCUGUCUAGCUACGACCAAGAGUUGAAGGAAAUGGAGGAGCAAUCCAGGGAAGAGUACAUCGGUUCGCUCCGGAGGAAAAGCACAUGCUUCUCAAGAGGGGGUGUCCAAGUACAGAGGAGUUGCAAGGUAGAGCUGAUCUUGCAAGAUUUGUUACUGAACAUAUUUGGAUUCUUGCAAGAAAAUCUUUGCACGUAUACAUGUCGGUGAAAUUCAGAGAUGUUUUUACAGACAUCACCACAACGGCAAAUGGGAGUCUAGGAUUGGGCGUGUGUUUGGCAAUAAGUAUCUCUACCUAGGUUCAGUUGUCCUUGAGCACCUGUUGCAUUCUUGACAUCUAAUUUCUAAAUUCUCAACUUCAUGGAAAUGAUGGUACUUUUCAGUUAAUUGUGCUGAUUAUGAAAUACCAAAAGUUAUUUUUCUUGCUAUAGGGUUACUAAAUGAGUAGCAGUAAUAUCCAUUGCGGAGAUGAUAUCCAUAUUUUAUUGUGUUGCUACUACUUUCCUUCAUUUUUCUAUCCUGCAUUUCCAAUAUACAUCAUACAUAAUACAUUUCCAGUCUCUAAAUCGGUAGACAGGAAAAAAUAGCUAAACAUGGUUGUGAAGUUUUGGCUGUUUUUUGGACUGAAGACAUAUAACAUAUGUUGUAGCUCUAAAUGCAUACUGUUCUCUUUCCUUGGCAAUGUUUGCAGAAUAUAUAUAUUGUAGAGACAGUAAUAUUUGUGCCUUGUGAGGAUAGGUCUGCUGUCAAGUGACAUCAUGCAACAUAGAUUUAGAACGAAGAGUAAGAUAUGUUUCUGUACAGCGACUACUGGAUCGAUAGUACAAAAUAAAUAGCUUGAAUGGAUUUAGCAUUAAGAACAAAAUAAGAUACGAAAAUUCUAAAGCUACCCUUCUUGUGGAUCGACUGAUAAAUCCAUGUAUAAUAUUUUGAGAAAGAGUUAAAUCCGUAUAUGCUGUUUGAGUGCCUUUUAAUUA